GCUGUUUGUUUGCACCUAAACCUCUUUACAGGCCACAAGUCCACAGCUCAGCACUGUGGUGGUGAGGACGAGAAGGGCUGAUGUAGAGUGGAAGACAAUUUGCUGACCAGCUGCUUUCAUGUCUCGGGUCGCCGUGCGCUGCUUGACCACAGUGAGGUUUGGGUAGAUUUUGUAUGUUUUAAAGAGCAUCUCCACUUGUAAGGAAUGCGCAAGUUAAUGGCUGGGGUUUAUUUGUGUGUCGGUGUAGGCAAAGCGAAGACACAGAAACACUCUCAUGAGAUAUUUAUGUCAAGGAGUGGAUAGUUUGAAUGGUGACACAGUAAACUCACCAAACUAGGCCGACAGUUACAAGAAUCAGUUAAUUAAGGGAGCGAACAUCUGAGUCUGUCACACAGCCUCCAACCUGUGUCAGCUGAGCCUAAUGCAACGUAUGGAUUCAUGAGGAGAGGGAGGAGGUGGAGGACCGUUCUAAGGAGAAGGUGAUGGUGGAGGAUGAGAAGUGAAAACACUAGAGAAGAGGAGAGUAUUGUGUUAACUUUAAAGGAUGUGGAGGAGAAUGCUCAUAGAGGGAUACAAACACAAGAGGUGGAGAAAACUACAGAAGGGAUAGAGAACACUAGUUACCACCCCCGCUAUUUUUUUUAAUACAAAACGUGAAUGUGAAAGUGAAGCUGUACCCUAAUGGUACUAGGAAAUGAUUGCCUCGCAGGUGUACAUUAAAAUUAUACAACAGAAAACCUCAAACAAAGAUCCAAUCACCGUUCUAGAUGAGUGUACAAAGUAGCCCAUAUUAAACUACUGGUAACCAUAACAACAACACUUGUGCUUGAUGCUGCGUUGUAAGAUUAUAACUCUUACUGAAACUGACCUAACCAUCAAUUAAAAGGUCUACAAAUAAACUUCAAAACAUUGACAGUGGUUUUCUAUGGACUGUCUAAAUAAAGAAAUGCAAAGAAAUGUGAUUGAAAACCAAUGACAACUGAAAAUAAAGAGCUAAAUUGUGAAACACACAUAUGUUCCUGGGGCGGGUAUUCUAUCUGAACGUGUCUCUGCUGCCCUUCUAUUGGUCAGAUAAGCUGCCAGUCACAUAUUACCCAGAAAACUGAGAGGGACCUGGAUGCAGACACAAUGGCGGAUCUCCGCAAGAGGCACCGCCGUUCUCAGCAGCAGAAGUUGGUCUUCUUCUUAUUCUUUUUGCAUAAACAUCUACAUUACGCAUGUGCAUGCGUUGUCCACUUGUGGCACUAAAUGGAAAAAGACUAAACACAACAACUUUAUUCACUGAUUUUGGUGAAAUUUGAUCAUAAUUUAUGAAGCAAAUAUUUUCUGGUUUUCCCUCUGAUGUCCUCCUUGUACAGUAAUCAGUGAAGCCCACCCCCCAGAAACACUCCGCUCUGGCGUCUAUCGUUUUUCUAAUCAAUUCUUGUCUCAUUUGUGGUCUGAAAAACAGUAAAUUCAUCAAAUUAAGUGCCCCAUAUCGCUAGUUUUACCAAACCAUUGAAUAAAGUUAUGAAGUUGUGUUUUAUAGCAAGGCCUGCCACGCAAAAACGACACGAAGAAGACCAACUUCCGCUGCUGAGGUCACGUGAUUUCCUGUCAGCUGCGGAGGUGCUCCUUGCGAAGGUCUCCCAUUUUGUGUCUGCGGCUAGGUACUCUUGGGAAAACUGGGAAGCCGGAAGCGCUAAAAGUUGAAAUUAAUAUUAUUUCCACAGUUGGUUUUCAUCACUUAUUUUUAAAUCCUCACUGCUGAAGAAAUUACCCUCUGACAACAUACAUGAGCAUCACCAUCCACUACUCCCCAGAAUAAAUACCUACAAAGAGCAUACUUCCCUGAAGACUACACAGGCAAGGUUGUUGCCCAAAGCCUUACUGAGGCAAUGGCAUCCAGGGGCUGAGUCAAGACAGACGAGUGUGCAUUACUACUGACAGUGGGACAAAUAUAGUGAAGGCCACUUUACUAAACAACUGGACCCGACUACAGUGCUUUGGGCAAUGGCUGCACUCAGUAGUUGAGCAGGCAAAGACAAGAGGAUGAACUGAACAUGACAUGUUGGCAUGUUGGCCUUACUUAUACUACUCCUGGAAAAAACAAGAGAGAUCUGGCUGCUGCUCAGGAAGAACAUCACAUGCCAGAACUCAAGCUGAUGGCGGAGUCACCAACCAGGUGGGGCACUCGUCAAAAGAUGAUACUGAAGCAACACAAGGUCAUCGCUCAGUGUUGACAAGAAGGGCACUUAAUGUGCUAGAGUCUAUGAACACUGCUGGAAUUUACUGAUUCACUCUCUGGUGAAUCAUAUAUAAGAGUGUCCUACCUCAAGCUAGAGCUCCAUCUCUUUACUACACAACUCAACUCAGAGAGCAGUCACUGAAAAUAUAGAGGCAAAGCGAGACAUUUUCACCUCAUGGUGUUCAACCAGAGAAGAGGAGACAGAGGAAGAACGAGGAGCUGCUGCAGCUUUACCUACAGUACGUUGAAAAAGAAGAUGAAGUCGUAUGGUUUCUUCAAGAAGACACUCUGCUGGACCUCAGGCCUCGGUGACACACAAGACAACAGCUUGUGAAGUAGUUACAGAGGACGGAAACAGACAUUGAAACUCUUUGAAAGUUGAAAGUUUUUUGUCAUGUUUGUUUUUGUCUCUGUUUAUUGUCCUGCAAUGACUGAUAGCUGAAAAAAAGGCAAAUUAUGUGUACUGACAAAAUUUGAGAUUUAACUUUAUAUUUCAUAAUUGAUACACUAUAUGCUGCUAAGUCAAG